UGUGGGUUGACAGUGCUGAGGUCUCCCCAAGCCCCCGAGCUCUGCUGCCCCACAUCU
rnacentral:miRNA from 7 species